ACGAACGAACGAACGAACGAAUGAACGAACCAACGAACGAACGAACCAACCAACCAACGAGCGAGCCAUGUGUAUCCCAGUGAAAAGGGUAUUGAGAUGGAUGAUCAUUGAUUACCAACAGUC
rnacentral:lncRNA from 1 species